UGCAGAAAGUGUUUUCAAGAGGUUUUCUGGAAAUGAGUUGCCUGGGUAUGAUGAUGGUGAUGUGGGUUCAGCAAGGUUUGACAAACCUAUAAGCUUUGCUGUUGAUGUGAGACUUGGACCAAAGUAUCACGGAUUCUUACAAGGAACUUAAUGGUGAAGGCAGUUCUCACAGAGAUUUUGAAACUAUUUGAAGUUGUAGGGCUUGGAUAUUCAUUAUGGUUUACUUACCGAUAUUUGCUGUUCAAAAGAAAUAGAGAUGAGUUGUCUGAUAUAAUAGAGGGACUCAAGGAAUAAGUGUUUGGUUAAGAAGAUUAAUAGUUGUUAUGAAACAGUGAAUUAAUAUCUAGACUGUAUAGUUGUUAGGGUAUGCAUCAGUUUGAUCUAUAUGUAUUGACAAUCUAUUUACUUGCUUGGUAUGAAAUUCUGGUCAAGUGUGAGUGAUCCAUGAAA